rnacentral:rRNA from 1 species
UGGGCAACCUGCCCCUCUCUCUGGGAUAACCCCGGGAAACCGGAGCUAAUACCGGAUACUCCGGCUGGAUCGCAUGGUCCGGCCGGGAAAGGUCCGCCGGAGAGGGAUGGGCCCGCGGCCUAUCAGCUUGUUGGUGAGGUCACGGCUCACCAAGGCUACGACGGGUAGCUGGUCUGAGAGGACGACCAGCCACACUGGAACUGAGACACGGCCCAGACUCCUACGGGAGGCA